rnacentral:rRNA from 1 species
UACGGGGGGAGCAAGCGUUGUCCGGAAUUAUUGGGCGUAAAGAGCUCGUAGGCGGCUUGUCGCGUCGGCUGUGAAAUCCCGUGGCUCAACUGCGGGUCUGCAGCCGAUACGGGCAGGCUAGAGUUCGGUAGGGGAGACUGGAAUUCCUGGUGUAGCGGUGAAAUGCGCAGAUAUCAGGAGGAACACCGAUGGCGAAGGCAGGUCUCUGGGCCGAUACUGACGCUGAGGAGCGAAAGCGUGGGGAGCGAACAGG